rnacentral:tRNA from 1 species
UCGGGGAUCGUCUAAUGGUAGGACAGUGGCCUUUGGAGCCAUCAAUCAUGGUUCGAAUCCAUGUCCCCGAGCCA